GUUGAACGCUGGCGGCAGGCUUAACACAUGCAAGUCGAGCGGAGAUGAGGUGCUUGCACCUUAUCUUAGCGGCGGACGGGUGAGUAAUGCUUAGGAAUCUGCCUAUUAGUGGGGGACAACAUUCCGAAAGGAAUGCUAAUACCGCAUACGUCCUACGGGAGAAAGCAGGGGAUCUUCGGACCUUGCGCUAAUCGAUGAGCCUAAGUCGGAUUAGCUAGUUGGUGGGGUAAAGGCGUACCAAGGCGACGAUCUGUAGCGGGUCUGAGAGGAUGAUCAGCCACACUGGGACAGGGACACGGCCCAGACUCCUACGGGAGGUAGCAGUGGGGAAUAUUGGACGAUGGGGGGAACCCUGAUCCAGCCACGCCGGGUGUGUGAAGAAGGCGUUAUGGUUGUAAAGCACUUUAAGCGAGGAGGAGGCUACUGAGACUAAUACUCUUGGAUAGUGGACGUUACUCGCAGAAUAAGCACCGGCUAACUCUGUGCCAGCCGCCGCGGUAA
rnacentral:rRNA from 1 species